AAAAAAAAAAAAAAAAAAUAAAUUAAUAUAUAUAGAGAGAGAGAGAGAAAGAGUAGAGUAGAAUUUUCGGAUUCGGCAAAAAUUUGUUACGGAUAUAAUUCGAAUAAAAUUCGUCUUUUAAUUUUUAAAUUCGUUGAAAAAUACGGCUAAAAAACGAAUUUUCCAAUUAUUCGGAUACGUGAUUUAUACGAAUAUUAUACGUUCAUCAAUUAAAAAUUCGGGAUAAAAAAUUCGGCUAUUAAAUUAAGUUUUUUUUUUCUCUCAAAAUUUCUGCUAUUAGCAUAAAUACUCAUAUUUCUUAAGAAUAUAAUAAUAAAGAGCUACAAAAUUAAGUUAAUUAAGUAAAAAAAAUAACAAACUAUAUUAUGUCUCAAAAUAAAUAAAUAAUUAAGUAAAUAAGAGAUUAAAAUACUUCAUAAGAGAUUAAAGCGAGAGUUUUUUUUUUUUUUUUUUUUCAGUGUUGGGCAAGGUUUGAAAAGUUUUUUUUUUUUUUUCCCUAUUUUGGGCGAGGUUUGGAAAGUUUUUUUUUUUUUUUUUUGCUGUGUUUUGGGUGCGCCAGGAGGCCCGCGAGCGCGAGCGUGAGGCCGCGAGCGCGAGGGAGCGCAGGGAGCCGCGAGCGCGAGUGCUGACUUUUUGGCCGAAUAAUUCGCGACUCGCAAAUUAUUCACGAAUAAGUAUUUUUGACCGAAAAUACACGUUUUUUAUCUGAAUUUUUCGGAAAAGUACGAAUUCGGCCGUUUAAUUCGUUUUCUUAAAAAUUCGCAAAUAAUUUGCGAAUUAACUAACAUAGAGUAGAACUAUUAUAUUUUUCCAAGUAUAAAAGAGUUCGUGGUUUCAACUUUUUGACUCCUAGAUCAACAAUUUUAAUUAUUUCUGAUAUUAGGAUUAAUAUUAUUAUCCCAAAGGGACCACUCAACCCUAAGGGGGACAACUAUCAUCUGGAUCCUACAAUCUUUGAUCUAAGGGCCAAAAACUUGAAAACAUUAACUCCCUUGUACUUUUUUAAUAGUAUAGUAGCUCUACUAUAUAUAUAUAUAUAUAUAUAUAUAUAUAGAGAGAGAGAGAGAGAGAGAGAGAGAGAGAGAGAGAGAGAGUCCGGCUGGUAUACUAGCGGUAGCACAGAAGCCUCCGUGCUACCAAGUUGUUUUCAAUGAUAUAGUUUUUAAAUUUACGAACGGCUCUAUUAGACUUGAUCUAUAAUAUUGAAAAUAUUUGGAAACCAAAUUUCAUAAUUUUUAGAUAUCAUUAACCUAUAAAAUGAGUUGUCUAAAAAUGAACGACAAAAAAAUAAAAAUCUCAUAAAAAUGAUGAUAAAAGAUUGAAUUUAAGAUCAUAGAUACUGAUCUUAUUCUAAAUAGUAAAAAAAAUUUCUAUAAAAAUUUCACCAGAUUUAGAUUGUUUUAUGCUGUUAAAUUCGAAAACGCAUUACAUCAACCAUUAAAAUUGUCAAUUUUGAGACUUUUUAAUUACUAGCCAAAUAAUAUCAAAAAAUUAUAAAAUUUAGUUUCCAAACACUUUUAAUAGUAUAGAUCAAAUCUAACGAAACCGAUUAUCAAUUUGGAAAUCACAUCAUUGAAAACAACUUGGUAGCACGGAGUGCUCCGUGUUACCGAUAGUACACCAGGCAAGCUCUCGUGUGUGUAAAACAACUUGAUAGCACGGAGUGCUCCGUGUUACCGAUAGUAUACAUGGCAAGCUCUCGUGUGUGUGUGUAGUUCGGCUAUGGUGCUUGUAAAAGCACCAAGCACUUGGUAUUUGUAAAUAUUUUACCGUUAGAUCUACUUUUUUGAUCAUUUUCAUCUGUUAGAUUAUACUAUUCAACCAACCACCCACUAAACCCUAGGACUUCGUUUGGUUCGGGGUUAAAUAAUAACUAGUUAUUCUAGAGAUAGGAUUAAGUUCAGGGUUAAGAUGGGGUUAGAGUAAUUUUGUGUUUGGUUGAGAAUUGAGUUUACUCCAGGUAUAAGCAAAAUAGUGUUUGGUUGGAGUAAGUGGAAUAAGAAGGACAGUGAAUAGAUAUAAAUAGAAAAUAAUGAUAUUGCCCCAAUUUUAUAUUUGAAUUUAAAUUUUUUAUUUUAUAUUUAAAAGUUCAAAUUUAAAUAGAUAAUUUUUAAAAUUAAAAAAUUAAAAAUUAAAAUCUAUAUUUUUAAAUCUCAAAUUUAAAAUUUUAAACAAUAAAUAUUAAUAUAAAUAUUGCAAAUUAUACAUUUUUAAAAUUUCAAAUAUAAAAUGUCAAAUUCAAAAUGUAAACAAUUAAAAAUAAAAUUUAAAAAUUAAAAAUAUUAAUAUUAAUUUUAAGAUUACAAAUUAUAAAUUUUUAAAAAUUAAAAAUUAAAAAUAAAAUUAAUAAAUUUAUAUUUAAAAAUUAAAUUGUGGUGGGAUUAACUUAAUUCCACCACAAUUCAAAGGGGGGUUGGGGUUUGUUAACCCCACCCUUAACGGGAUAACGGUUAGACCGUUAGACCGUUAUCCCGUUAAGGAUGUGGUUAACAAAUCCCACACCAAAAAGUUUCCCUUUGGGGAUAACCCCUCUUUUAUCUCUGAACCAAACACUAGUUAGGGGGCCAAUAUCAUCCUAACCGCACAUCUCUUAAUCAAAUGGCCAAAAAUCUAGAAGCACCAAGCACACUAGGAUUGAGUGCUGUUCCCACUGAAUUAUAAUAUUUAAUCUAAUGGUUAAAAAUUAUCAAAGAAAUUGAUCGAAAGAUUAAAAACAUAAUAGAAAAAAGGGGCAAAUACUUUUAAUAUUAUUCUAUCCCAACUCAUUAUAUAUAUAUAUAUAUAUAUAUAUAUAGAGAGAGAGAGAGAGAGAGAGAGAGAGAGAGUAGGGCUAGAAUACUUUUACAAGUAUCACCCAAGUGAUACUUGUGUGUUUUUAACCAUUGGAUCUACUUUUUGAUUACUAAUAGUCUUUAUAUCAAACACUAUUCCACCUACUACCACCUACCACCAUCAUCUCAACCUCACAUCUCUCCAUCCAAGGGCUAAAAACACACAAGUAUCAUUUAGGUGAUACUUUUACAAGUAUUCUAGCUCUACUCUAUAUAUAUAUAUAUAUAUAUAAAAGAAAUUGUUGAACACCAAC
rnacentral:lncRNA from 1 species